AGCGCGAAACGGCAAACCCGGCGAAAGCCGGCGACGCAAAGCCACGAGGCUACCGCACGCUCCGCGCGUGCCACGCCAGUCGGGCUGCCGAA
rnacentral:ncRNA from 1 species